UACGAGUGCUCCAAGCGUUAUCCGGAAUCAUUGGGCGUAAAGGGUGUGUAGGUGGUUGUGUUAGUCUUUUGUUAAAUUCUUCGGCUUAACCGGGGGCAUGCAAAGGAAACGGCACAACUAGAGGAUGCGAGAGGUGAAUGGAACUCAUGGAGUAGGGGUGAAAUCCGUUGAUAUCAUGGGGAACACCAAAUGCGAAGGCAAUUCACUGGCGCACUCCUGACACUGAAACACGAAAGCGUAGGUAGCGAAUGGG
rnacentral:rRNA from 1 species